rnacentral:rRNA from 1 species
GACGAACGCUGGCGGCGUGCUUAACACAUGCAAGUCGAACGGAAAGGCCCUGCUUUUGUGGGAUGCUCGAGUGGCGAACGGGUGAGUAACACGUGAGUAACCUGCCCUUGACUUUGGGAUAACUUCAGGAAACUGGGGCUAAUACCGGAUAGGAGCUCCUGCUGCAUGGUGGGGGUUGGAAAGUUUCGGCGGGUGGGGAUGGACUCGCGGCUUAUCAGCUUGUUGGUGGGGUAGGUGCUUACCAAGGCUUUGGCGGGUAGCCGGCCUGAGAGGGUGACCGGCCACAUUGGGACUGAGAUACGGCCCAGACUCCUACGGGAGGCAGCAGUGGGGAAUAUUGCACAAUGGGCGGAAGCCUGAUGCAGCAACGCCGCGUGCGGGAUGACGGCCUUCGGGUUGUAAACCGCUUUCGCCUGUGACGAAGCGUGAGUGACGGUAAUGGGUAAAGAAGCACCGGCUAACUACGUG